GACGAACGCUGGCGGCGCGCCUAACACAUGCAAGUCGAACGAGCGAGAGAGAGCUUGCUUUCUCAAGCGAGUGGCGAACGGGUGAGUAACGCGUGAGGAACCUGCCUCAAAGAGGGGGACAACAGUUGGAAACGACUGCUAAUACCGCAUAAGCCCACGGCUCGGCAUCGAGCAGAGGGAAAAGGAGCAAUCCGCUUUGAGAUGGCCUCGCGUCCGAUUAGCUAGUUGGUGAGGUAAUGGCCCACCAAGGCGACGAUCGGUAGCCGGACUGAGAGGUUGAACGGCCACAUUGGGACUGAGACACGGCCCAGACUCCUACGGGAGGCAGCAGUGGAGAAUAUUGCACAAUGGGGGAAACCCUGAUGCAGCGACGCCGCGUGGAGGAAGAAGGUCUUCGGAUUGUAAACUCCUGUUGUUGAGGAAGAUAAUGACGGUACUCAACAAGGAAGUGACGGCUAACUACGUGCCAGCAGCCGCGGUAAAACGUAGGUCACAAGCGUUGUCCGGAAUUACUGGGUGUAAAGGGAGCGCAGGCGGGAAGACAAGUUGGAAGUGAAAUCCAUGGGCUCAACCCAUGAACUGCUUUCAAAACUGUUUUUCUUGAGUAGUGCAGAGGUAGGCGGAAUUCCCGGUGUAGCGGUGGAAUGCGUAGAUAUCGGGAGGAACACCAGUGGCGAAGGCGGCCUACUGGGCACCAACUGACGCUGAGGCUCGAAAGUGUGGGUAGCAAACAGGAUUAGAUACCCUGGUAGUCCACACUGUAAACGAUGAUUACUAGGUGUUGGAGGAUUGACCCCUUCAGUGCCGCAGUUAACACAAUAAGUAAUCCACGUGGGGAGUACGACCGCAAGGUUGAAACUCAAAGGAAUUGACGGGGGCCCGCACAAGCAGUGGAGUAUGUGGUUUAAUUCGACGCAACGCGAAGAACCUUACCAAGUCUUGACAUCCCUUGACGAUGCUGGAAACAGUAUUUCUCUUCGGAGCAAGGAGACAGGUGGUGCAUGGUUGUCGUCAGCUCGUGUCGUGAGAUGUUGGGUUAAGUCCCGCAACGAGCGCAACCCUUAUGGUCAGUUACUACGCAAGAGGACUCUGGCCAGACUGCCGUUGACAAAACGGAGGAAGGUGGGGAUGACGUCAAAUCAUCAUGCCCUUUAUGACUUGGGCUACACACGUACUACAAUGGCGUUAAACAAAGAGAAGCAAGACCGCGAGGUGGAGCAAAACUCAGAAACGACGUCCCGAGUUCGGACUGCGGGCUGCAACUCGCCUGCACGAAGUCGGAAUUGCUAGUAAUCGCAGUUCAGCAUGCUGCGGUGAAUACGUUCCCGGGCCUU
rnacentral:rRNA from 1 species